rnacentral:rRNA from 1 species
UGGGGAAUUUUGGACAAUGGGCGCAAGCCUGAUCCAGCCAUGCCGCGUGCGGGAAGAAGGCCUUCGGGUUGUAAACCGCUUUUGUCAGGGAAGAAAUCUUCUGAGUUAAUACCUCGGGAGGAUGACGGUACCUGAAGAAUAAGCACCGGCUAACUACGUGCCAGCAGCCGCGAUAAUACGUAGGGUGCAAGCGUUAAUCGGAAUUACUGGGCGUAAAGCGUGCGCAGGCGGUUUUGAAGACAGAGGUGAAAUCCCCGGGCUCAACCUGGGAACUGCCUUUGUGACUGCAAGGCUUGAGUGCGGCAGAGGGGGGAUGGAAUUCCGCGUGUAGCAGUGAAGUGCGUAGAUAUGCGGAGGAACACCGAUGGCGAAGGCAAUCCCCUGGGCCUGCACUGACGCUCAUGCACGAAAGCGUGGGGAGCAAACAGGAUUAGAUACCCCUGGUAGUCCACGCCCUAAAACGAUGUCAACUGGUUGUUGGGAAGGUUCCUUCUCAGUAACGUAGCUAACGCGUGAAGUUGACCGCCUGGGGGAGUACGGCCGCAGGGUUG